AAUAGAAGAGAAAGAAGAAGGAGAAGAAGGUGACGAAGAGGAGAAGGAUGGGGCUUCCUUGAGGGCUGUUUGGGGCUGAUCAUAGGUUGUGCAAGCUGCUUCUACAACUGCUGCUGGACCAUCUUCUUUUGCGAUUAGUUUUCGUGCAAGCAAAGGCCACAUGUUCCUACCAUCUUGCUACUGCAAAGGGCUGCUACUACAUGCAAGCUAUAGGGGGUACAAUUGUUGUACAAAGAAGGUCGUCGUUGCUCAAAUUUAGAAUUCAGUUGUUGUACUGCUGCUAAUCAUGAUUGAGGAUGGUGAUUCAUGCAUAUGGAGCUUAGUACAAGUGUUGUCCAGAAGUUCAAAUGCUGCUGUGAUGGAAAUUGCUGCUAACAAGGGCUGUCCAAACUAGGGAAUUGCUGCUGGAACCUCCGUGCUGCUAUACACACACUUAAGAAGACACCGAGAACUGGGAACCUUGGACGGCAUGCCUGGGAAUUGGCUGAAACUCAGUCACAGGGACUAAUGUAUUUCAUGGUAUCGUAUUUAAUUGGUGUUAAUUAGAUGUUGGAACCGGAGUUGAAGCGGACAUGAGUUCGAGAAAAGUUGUGAGGCUGUGUCGACGAGACAUUGUGGAAUUGACAAUUGUUCCCUUCUGAUGUUAUGGUUUAUAUUUUCAUUGAAUGUAUGAUGUAAUUAUUUGUGUAAUUGUGGGUUAAUUCAAAUUGGACUUGUAAUAUUGUAAUUAUCCUUGUAGACAGAUAACCAUUAGUAGUAUAUUGCUAUGAAUUCUAUA